CUUACAUACUUUAUGUGUCUUAGUUACAUGUUCUCAUGAUUGACACUGCAGUGCAUAAUUUUAGACACUUCCUAGGUCAGUGGAAUUCUUGCCUGAAUAAAACCUUCAGGACAUUGUUUUUCCAUAAGCUUUGUUAUUCCUUUGGCUGUACUCGUGCAACUGAGUUGUCCUUCACAUCAGUUUCCUCAUGUUUCUAUUCUCAGGGAAACCAGUUUCUAUAAUUACUUUGAAAAGUCCUGUCCAGCCAUUCCUGUGCAUGUGCACCACUGACCAUGCAAAACUUUUCCAAGUCCAUAGCACUUUACCAUACAGCACAAAAAGCACCUGAUAAGCAAUUAUUGCUGCUUAAACAUGCUACAAGAUGACAGUAGAGGACUAUGUUCUACUAACUUAAAUGAGUGAUUUUCCAUUGAUUUGUACAGAAUGACUCCUGGUUUAUAUCAGUUGAAGCAGAAAAAAAAGAAUGAGGCUUUAACUGAGGAAUAAUCUAUGUUCUGUUUUUCCCACCAUAUAAAAUUCUCACUGACAAGAAAAAGCAUCUUCAGUGAAACAGGAGGUGUUCAGCUGUUGAAGAAAGUGCUGGCUCUCUCAGGGAACAGUGUGCCAUUGGGUUUUUAAUUAGCAGACGAGGUUAGUUGUUCUGUGUUUUGACACCCUGAGUAAUCACAAAAAGAGACCUGCUCCUUUGUGGCUGUAUCAAUUCCAAAUGAGAGGAAGAGGUGUGUUUCAGUGAGAUAACAGAACACCUGGCUGACACAGGAAGAUCUUCCUCUAAUCAAGGGUGGCUUCCAGAAUCCUAUGUCCAAGCCUUAAAAUAUGUUAAUGCAAUUAAGGUUUACUUAUACUG